rnacentral:piRNA from 1 species
UUCUUCUACAGCUACUAUGUCUCCCUAUGC